GACGAACGCUGGCGGCGUGCCUAACACAUGCAAGUUGAGCGACGAACCAGGGCUUGCCCUGGGGCAAAGCAGCGAACGGGUGAGUAACACGUGGGUAACCUACCCCGAUAACCGGGACAACCCGAGGAAACUCGGGCUAAUACCGGAUGUGCUCACUGGACUUCGGUUCAGUGCGUAAAGGAAGCUUCGGCCUCCGUAUCGGGAGGGGCCCGCGGCCCAUUAGUUUGUUGGUGAGGUAACGGCUCACCAAGACCGCGAUGGGUAGCUGGUCUGAGAGGACGAUCAGCCACACUGGGACUGAGACACGGCCCAGACUCCUACGGGAGGCAGCUGUGGGGAAUCUUGCGCAAUGCGCGAAAGCGUGACGCAGCAACGCCGCGUGGGGGAAGAAGGCCUUCGGGUUGUAAACCCCUUUCAGGAGGGACGAAGGUUCGGCGGUGAAUAGCCGUCCGGACUGACGGUACCUCCACAAGAAGCCCCGGCUAACUACGUG
rnacentral:rRNA from 1 species